rnacentral:rRNA from 1 species
UACGUAGGGGGCAAGCGUUGUCCGGAUUUAUUGGGCGUAAAGAGCGUGUAGGCGGCCAGGUAGGUCCGUUGUGAAAACUCGAGGCUCAACCUCGAGACGCCGAUGGAAACCAUCUGGCUAGAGUCCGGAAGAGGAGAGUGGAAGUUCCCGGGUGAUAGCGGUGAAAUGACGCAGAUAUCGGGAAGAACACCCGUGGCUAAGGCGGCUCUCUAGUACGGUACUGACGCUGAGACGGCGGAAAAGCGUGGGGAGCGAACAGG